AGAAAUGAUUGUAUUUCAAUGUAUAAUUUAUAUACAUCCUAACAUUAAAACAAAGUAAAUACAAACACAUAAUAUUUCAUUUGACACACAUGAUGAGUUGCUUACACACUCAUUACAAAUGAGCUUAUAAACAAGUAACAGAUACUCAGCAUGGAAACUCAAACAGAACACAUAAAAAUGAAUAGCAUGAUGAUUUAAUAUUAAAUAAAUAGUAUGUUACAAUAUUAUAUUACCAGUAACCACAAUAAAUGUACUAUUAACUAAAUAAUGGUCAAAUCCAUUAAUUCUUAAGUCAUUUGCUCAAAAUGUAGAUUUGAUAUACUUUGGCAUGUUACUUCAAAGCAAUAGAAAUUAUUUGAACUAUUUGUAAGAUUCAUAUUUCCAUAUGAACAUACUUGCUAUGUAGAAAAUGUAAAGCUAUUACCUAAACUCAUGAGAGGCAAUUACAAAUAUGUAUGAAAAAUGUUCCAAAUAGUACUAGAGAACUCCAUAAACUUUGGUUAACACAGUAUGUUAAAAUUAGGAGGAACUUAAUAUGAAAUAAUAAAGCUUCAUAUACUACUGUGAACUUAGCACAUGGUUAAAUUUCUAUAAUUUCACCAAUCAGGAAGUUGUGUGAGUUCAAAGUUCAGGCUGUGCUACAUAAACCAUUGGAAAAGGAAUAUCAAAAUGAAAACUUCUUUUAAAAAGUUCAUAAUCAAUUAUAAUUAACUUCAAAUCAGCCUCAAAAUUAUCAUGAAAUGAUUGUUAUGAGAAACACUUCAUACUUAAGAAAACAAUGUGAUGAAGCCAAUGUCACUUCCAUCAUACUAUUUUGAUCCAUGUAGUUUUGUCUUUAUUUCUUGAGCUAAUCCAACAGCAGCAAUGAAAAUGCCUCAAAAAAAUUGUCUUCAAAGAAUCCAUUAGUCUCCGUCAAUUUGCUUCAAUUUUAAUGAUUGUGAAGACUACUUACACCACACAUGAGACAUUUUUUCAGUUAUGAAGGUUAUAAUUGUCUUUUUUUUGGUGAUCACCUGAAAGCACAGAUCACCU
rnacentral:lncRNA from 1 species